AAAAAAAUUAUGAAAUGAACGGAUUUGUGAAAUUGAGAUCCGUUUUAAAAUUGUCUACUUUACUUUUUUUUCCACCCUGACCCUGUAGUUUCAUUUGUCAGAUUUAUGUAACAGUUCCAAAGAAGUUAAUUUGCUGGAUAAGGUAAGCAACUAUUCCGAACAUACAUAGACUACAUAGUCUACAUAGUCAGAGUAAUGAUACUAAAUGGGACCUUUCCUGGGUGUUAAGAGAGGGGCCUGUACCGGUUUUGCGGGAUGCGUCUAAAAUUCAAGUGGGAUUCAGGAUUUUGAGAGAAAUAUUGGCGGGAAGCGGGAUUUUAUUCCAUCGCGGGAAGUGGGAUUAAUCAAAAUACCAUGGCGAUAUGCGGAAAUUAACUCACGAUUAGCGGGAUAAAUCAAC